rnacentral:rRNA from 1 species
GACAGAGGGUGCAAACGUUGUUCGGAAUUACUGGGCGUAAAGCGUGUGUAGGCGGCCAUGUAAGUCGGGUGUGAAAGCCCCGGGCUCAACCCGGGAAGUGCACUCGAAACUGCGUGGCUUGAGUAUCGGAGAGGUUGGUGGAAUUCUCGGUGUAGAGGUGAAAUUCGUAGAUAUCGAGAGGAACACCGGUGGCGAAGGCGGCCAACUGGACGAAUACUGACGCUGAGACACGAAAGCGUGGGGAGCAAACAGG